UGGCUACGCCAAGCCCUGGGCGUAAACAGCUGCAGCAGGGGGAGCAUCCAGUGGCGGUGCCAGCAGUUCCAGCCCUUUGCUUUACUUUUUAGCUGCACCAAUGUAGUCAUUAUGCCGAAGAGAAAGUCUCCAGAGAAUCCAGAGGGCAAGGAUGAAUCCAAAGUAACUAAACAGGAGCCCACCAGAUGGUCUGCCAGGUUGUCAGCGAAAACUGCUCCCCCCAAAACCUGAACCUAAACCAAGAAAAACAUCUGCUAAGAAAGAACUGGCAACAAAGGUUAACAAAGGUGCUAAAGGGAAGAAGGAGGAAAAGCAAGAAGCUGGAAAGGAAGGCACAGAAAGCUGA